AGAUUUUGAUGAGGCGCAUCAAUCAUGAGUAAACUUUAGAUAAUUUGUCUGCUAACAAUUAUAGAGUUAAAAGGGUGAGAUGCCGAAAUGAUUCAUAAUAGCAGUUAUGAAUCGUUGGACUUAAUGGUUAAGAGCUAUAAGUUUGUCAUUAUUAUUAAAUAAUGGAGUGCAUCACUUGUA
rnacentral:ncRNA from 22 species